UACGGAGGGUGCAAGCGUUAUCCGGAUUCACUGGGUUUAAAGGGUGCGUAGGAGGGCAGGUAAGUCAGUGGCGAAAUCUCCAAGCUUAACUUGGAAACUGCCGUUGAUACUAUCUGUCUUGAAUAUUGUGGAGGUGAGCGGAAUAUGUCAUGUAGCGGUGAAAUGCUUAGAUAUGACAUAGAACACCAAUUGCGAAGGCAGCUCACUACUCAAUCAUUGACUCUGAGGCACGAAAGCGUGGGGAUCAAACAGG
rnacentral:rRNA from 1 species